rnacentral:hammerhead_ribozyme from 1 species
GAACUGCUGAAGAGUCCUAUAAUAGGACAAAAUGGAUGUCCAGUGC